rnacentral:lncRNA from 1 species
GAAACAAAGGUGUUAAUCUAAUAAUAAAAGGCCAUACGGCAUCUACACCAAUGAUCGAGUCGAACAAACAGUAAAUUGCAAUCGCCUGAUCUCACAAUGAGACAGUUAAACGAUAUUUUGAAGAAAAUGUAUGUACAAAUACAAGUACCCGCUUCAUGCAUUCUCGUUGAAUUACUGGUACCCUCUUCAUCAUGCCCCGAUAGAGCUAUCGUUUGAGCUAUCGACCAGAACUGCGAUUCCAUACAAGCUUUCAUACCAAAUCAAACCCCGCUUACAAUUAAGAAGCGAAAAACAAAGCUCUCACCAGGGAGAGAAAACAACCUUAGAUGAAACCACAAAAACAAGAGAAAUCCGACUGGAGGAGAAAGACAGCGAAAUCUCCGAUGGUUUUAGAUCUAAGAAUCCCUCGAGAAUAGAUCUGGAGUAGAACCACAAAAACAAGAAAAAUCGAACUGUAACUCACCCGCUUGGAAGAGAGACAACGAAAUCUCCGAUGGCUCUGGAUCUAACUUUCCCGAGAAGAAGUAUUAUUCAAAAACUACGAAUAAAACAAAGUAGUUAACUGAUUCGGGGCUUUCCACCGGUGAAAACCGAUGGAAGCCCC